GAGGAUGUGGCUCAGUGGUAAAGUGCCUGUGGCUUCAAUCCCCAGUACCACCACAAAUAAAUAAAUAAAUAAAAUAUGAUUUUAAAAGGGUAGCGGGGGUGGCUGGGAUGUAGCUCAUUGGUAGGAUGCUUACUAGCAUUUGCUAAGCCCUGGGUUCAAUCCCCAGUACUCCCA
rnacentral:tRNA from 1 species